CAAAUUUUUGGGAUAAAAGCUUAGGUGAGUUGAGUAUAUAAUUAUUAUCUCCCAUUAUACAUUUAUUUUAAUAGAUUUUUUUGGUUGAAUUUGAAUAGGUUUUAAGAUAAUUUUCUUUUCACUAUAAAUACCCACCAAAAACACCUAAAAAGAAAGAACAAAAGGAAAUUAACCCAUAAUUUGGUGGAGCACUAUAGAGAGAUUCUAAAUCAAUUAUAAGGCUUUCUUUUGUGCAUUUAGAGCCACAAUCAGCUGUCCAUCCUUCUACCAAAAUUACCUUAAAUGAUUUUUAGUUUUAGAUUCAUUUUAAGUGUCUAAUUGACCAAAAUCACAUCUACUUUGAUAUUGGAUAUAUUCUCAUCAUUUGUAGGUAUUCUUAAGUGCUGUAAGGGACCUCUAAUCCAAGAAUUGAAGACCAAUUAUAAGAUAAAUUUGAUUGAACAAAUCUUGCUUUCUUUAUGCAUUAAAACAUAAUGCUAUGAGUCAAUUCUAUAACCUUAGGUAAAUUAUUUUUCUUUUUCUUUUAUUUUUUUAAGUAUUCAUUUUUUUCUAAAUUGUUUGUUAGGAUGUUAACUUUAAUGCCAUAUUUUUAUAUUUGCAAUAGUCUUAGUAUUUUUCUGUGCAUAAAUUUAAUUUGGUUAACAGAUCAGCUUUCGCAUGUGUAUUACAUAUAACAUGUUACUUUUAUUUGGUUUAUUGAACUGAACAUGUAUUGCAGAAUUUCUUUAACAUGACAUGUUAGGUGUAACAUUAUUGAAUUUCAUGAAUUUUUAUUAAAGUUUACUAUUUUUAGAAAUUAAUAUAUAAUUAUUGGCCCAAUCAUUUUUUUUAGUGUCAUCUUUUAUUUUUUGUCUCAUUAUACAUUAACCCAUAUAUAUUUGUGCUCAGUUUAUUUCCCUAUUUUGUAAUAUUAAAUGUUAAUUGGAUUCUUGUAAGAUUUAAACAUUUUUAUAGAGUUUUGAGUAUUUUUUAGAUGAGAACACAAAAUCAUAGCUCAUACAUUAUGAUUCCCAUUUUUUCCUUAUAUUUUAUUGCAUUUUUUUUUUUCUUAUUUUGGUUUCAUACUAACUUGUUUAUUUUGUUGUACAUGAGUUUGAUACUUGUCUUUUUAGUACACUAGAAGGUCGAAUGAGAGCAAUCGCGAUUGAAGCCUCCAAAAUUGAAAUCAAAGAUUUCAAAUAUGUUUCAUUAACUUUUAGGUCUUAAAUUUAGGUGGUAGUGGUGUUGUUGUUGUUGUCGUCGUUUUUUUUUUUUUUUUUUUU
rnacentral:misc_RNA from 1 species